GGCUGGUCCGAUGGCCGUGGGUUAUUAGAACUUAUUAACAUUAGUAUCACUAAAGUUGGUAUGUACCACCACCCCCCCCACUGCUAAAUUUGACUGGCUUAAA
ensembl:misc_RNA Y_RNA Y RNA